UACGUAGGGUGCGAGCGUUGUCCGGAAUUAUUGGGCGUAAAGAGCUCGUAGGCGGUGUGUCGCGUCGGCCGUGAAAACCUGGGGGCUCAACUCUGGGCGUGCGGUCGGAUACGGGCAUCACUUGAGUUCGGCAGGGGAGACUGGAAUUCCUGGUGUAGCGGUGAAAUGCGUAGAGAUCGGAAAGAACACCAACGGCGAAAGUACUCUGCUGGGCCGACACUGACACUGGAGAAGACGAAAGCUAGGGGAGCGAAUGGG
rnacentral:rRNA from 1 species